rnacentral:rRNA from 1 species
GUCUAUAGCCAUGCGGCCCCGAACGUGUCUGAUCUCGUUUGAUCUUGGAAGCUAAGCAGGGUCAGGCCUGGUUGGUACUUGUAUGGGAGACCACCUUGGAAUACCAGGUGCUGUAGGCA